rnacentral:rRNA from 1 species
UAGGGAAUAUUGGUAAUGUGCGAAAGCGCGAACCAGCAACGCCGCGUGCGCGAUGAAGGCCUUCGGGUUGUAAAGCGCUUUUUAUGGGGAUGAGGAAGGACAGUACUCAUAGAAUAAGCCUCGGCUAACUACGUGCCAGCAGCCGCGGUAAAACGUAGGAGGCGAGCGUUAUCCGGAUUACUGGGCGUAAAGCGUGUGUAGGCGGUUUGAUAAGUUGGAUGUGAAAGCUCCUGGCUUAACUGGGAGAGGUCGUUCAAAACUAUCAGACUUGAGAGUGGUAGAUGGAUGUGGAAUUCCGGGUGUAGUGGUGAAAUGCGUAGAUAUCCGGAGGAACACCAGUGGCGAAAGCGGCCUCCUGGCCCAUUUCUGACGCUCAGACACGAAAGCUAAGGUAGCAAACGG